CCCAAACGGGCCUUCGUCAACUCGCUCUUUUUCUCUUUUCUCUCACCGGAAAUGGCCGCCGUCGUCGGAGGAAUCCACGAAUCCCAAGGUUCCGAGAACAGCCUCGAAGCCGACGACCUCGCUCGCUUCGCCGUCCAAGAGCACAACACCAAGGAGAAUGCUGUGCUUGAGUUUGUGAGGGUUGUGAAGACCAAGCAACAAGUGGUUUCUGGCACUGUGUACUAUCUCACCAUUGAGGCCACCGAUGGGGGUCAGAAGAAGCUUUUUGAGGCCAAGGUCUGGGUUAAGCCUUGGCUCAACUUCAAGCAAGUCCAGGAAUUCAAACCCGUUGCUGAAGUCUAGUUUGUUUUUCAGAUGAUAGAAGGUCUUGCAAUGUUUAAGAUGCUUCUAAAGGUCAGGGGAGCAAAGAAGAGAAACCAAAUUUGAACUGCAUAAGAAUAAUGAAGGUGGGCAUGCUCCAGGAUGGCAAGAUGUGCAGCCUCAUGAUCCUCAAGUUCAAGAUGCAGCCAACCAUACUGUGAAUAGCCUUCAGCAAAAGUCCAAUUUAUUGUUCCCAUAUGAGCUUCAAGAGAUUGUCCAUGCUAAGGCAGAGGUGAUAGAAGAUCAUGCCAAGUUUAACAUGCUUCUUAAGCUGAAGAGGGGUGACAAAGAAGAGAAAUAUAAAGUUUAAGUGCACAAGAACAAUGAAGGUGCCUACAAUCUGAAUCAGAUGGAGGCACAGCACUCUUAAAUAUAAUAAUUCGAGAGCUUUGUAGCAUCCCAAUCUUAUAAGAACUGGGUGUAUAAUAGAUGCUUUGCUUUCGUUGCUAUUAGUCUUUCUUUU